UGCGUAGGUGGUUUCUUAAGUCAGAGGUGAAAGGCUACGGCUCAACCGUAGUAAGCCUUUGAAACUGGGAAACUUGAGUGCGGGAGAGGAGAGUGGAAUUCCUAGUGUAGCGGUGAAAUGCGUAGAUAUUAGGAGGAAUACCAGUUGCGAAGGCGGCUCUCUGGACUGUAACUGACACUGAGGCACGAAAGCGUGGGGAGGCAAAACA
rnacentral:rRNA from 1 species